rnacentral:rRNA from 1 species
AGACACAGCCAUGUCACCCUGCAGCCCAUGACCGGUUACUCACUGAAGCUAAGCAGGGCUGAGCCUGGUCAGUACCUGGAUGGGAGACCACUAGGGAACACUAGGUUGCUGUUGGAA